rnacentral:rRNA from 1 species
UGGGGAAUAUUGCACAAUGGGCGCAAGCCUGAUGCAGCCAUGCCGCGUGUGUGAAGAAGGCCUUCGGGUUGUACAGCACUUUCAGCGGGGAGGAAGGCGUUAAGGUUAAUAACCUUGGCGAUUGACGUUACCCGCAGAGGAAGCACCGGCUAACUCCGUGCCAGCAGCCGCGGUAAUAUGGAGGGUGCAAGCGUUAAUCGGAAUUACUGGGCGUAAAGCGCACGCAGGCGGUUUGUUAAGUCAGAUGUGAAAUCCCCGGGCUCAACCUGGGAACUGCAUCUGAUACAGGCAAGCUUGAGGCUCGUAGAGGGGGGUAGAAUUCCAGGUGUAGCGGUGAAAUGCGUAGAGAUCUGGAGGAAUACCGGUGGCGAAGGCGGCCCCCUGGACGAAGACUGACGCUCAGGUGCGAAAGCGUGGGGAGCAAACAGG